rnacentral:rRNA from 1 species
GACGAACGCUGGCGGCGUGCUUAACACAUGCAAGUCGAACGGAAAGGCCCUGCUUUUGUGGGGUGCUCGAGUAGCGAACGGGUGAGUAACACGUGAGUAACCUGCCCUUGACUUUGGGAUAACUUCAGGAAACUGGGGCUAAUACCGGAUAGGAGCUCCUGCUGCAUGGUGGGGGUUGGAAAGUUUCGGCGGUUGGGGAUGGACUCGCGGCUUAUCAGCUUGUUGGUGGGGUAGUGGCUUACCAAGGCUUUGACGGGUAGCCGGCCUGAGAGGGUGACCGGCCACAUUGGGACUGAGAUACGGCCCAGACUCCUACGGGAGGCAGCAGUGGGGAAUAUUGCACAAUGGGCGGAAGCCUGAUGCAGCAACGCCGCGUGCGGGAUGACGGCCUUCGGGUUGUAAACUGCUUUCGCCUGUGACGAAGCGUGAGUGACGGUAAUGGGUAAAGAAGCACCGGCUAACUACGUG